AAUUCUCAACUGCCUUGGCCUUUUGUGCCAAAGCGAAGUUGGAUUUGGAGGCUUUGUUGCUGGCAUGAAGUGUCUGAUGAUGCUUGUUUGUUGGCUCCUCCUAAAAGCAUGCAGAGCUUGGCAAAGUGGCGUCGAUGUGAUAAUUAUCUACGUUGUCGUCAAAGUGUGCAGAUCUGCUGUGGGUGUGCGACCUUUUGAACA
rnacentral:misc_RNA from 1 species